GGGAACUAUAGUUUCUCAUCUCCAGAUUCAAGAGGGCGUCAGAUACUCAGACCAGAGGAGAGCAAAGAAAAAGGUUUUUCCUCGCUUUGGCAUUAUUCAAUCCAUGUCAGCGUAUGAGAUGCAGCCUGUGGUCAAGGAACAGAAGAAAGGCAGCUGUAUCCUAGGGAAGGAGUUCAAGUCAUGUGCUUCUUUCAUAAAUAUUGCUUUAACCUACUCUUAUGAUUGGCUGG